CGCUGAUCGCGAGGCAUGAAGACGACCUCACAGAGCAUACUCGGGGGCUCUCGCUCCCACGGAAAGCUUGCGUCGCCGCCGCGCGUCUUAGAGAAGCUUCCGCCCGCGGCCGCCGGCGCGGCCUCCACCUUAGGCGAGACACCCUAGCCCGUUUGUAGCUCGAGCAUGGACGGCAGUAACGCGCUGAUUUUGCCCUACAAGAGGAAGAACAAGGCUCAAGGCGAAGCCAAGUAAGAAAAGCAGACAAGACCUGAAGAUACAGCUAAAAAAGCUGCAGAAAUUGGAGGAGGAAAAGCAAAAGAAGCUGCUGCAAGCAAGAAGCAUCGAGAUUUUGCGGUACACUGACCUCAACUUAUUCCGUUCAGAAUGGUGUAUAUUUUCUUUUGAUUGUGCAUACUGGUGGUCUGGCAUGGCAGUAAUCGUAGGAUUUCAGUUGAUGGACAUUCGCUGCUGCAUGCCUCGGGCACUAUUGGUCAAGCUGAGACUUUGAAAGAAAAACUUAGGCGGGCUGCGCAGUUCUCCAGGGUAGGUUUGGUUGUUCUUGUUCCUGACGAACUCUCUUUAUUCAAGAAAGAUGGUUAUCAGAAAGAUUCUGAAAACAGUUAGGCUUCAGAGGAAGGUUUUCGACAUAAAGUUGUUGAUCCAACAGAUGCAAAUGAAUGUAGCAGAGAUUUGAAUGAUAGGAAAAGUAAGAAUGUCAUAGAGAACGAUGCAAUGAAACCAGUGGAAUGCGAACGAGUGGUAGAUGUUGAGAUGAGCAUUCCAGGACCAAAAACUGGAGGGACUCUUUCUGACAUGUUGGCAGAUUCAACAAACCAAGUGUUCCAAGUUGUUCUCAUGUGGCGAUAGAUUUCCAGGAUGAAGAACUGAUACAGGAGGGAGCUGUUAUGCAAGAGUGCUUCAAUCCGCCAAUUGUAGUACCUGUCGCAAGGAGGGCUCUCCCAAUAAUAAUGAUGGAACAGGAAAUAAUGGAAGCUAUCUACGAAAAUUCCGUUGUAAUUCUGUGUGGAGAAACAGGCUGUGGUAAAACUACUCAGGUCCCACAGUUGUAUGAAGCUAGCUUUGGUAUGAGCAAUCCAGUUGACAGAAAAGGGAUUAUUGGUAUCACCCAACCACGGCGUGUUGCUGUUCUUGCCACAGCUAGGAGAGUUUCGUAUGAGCUAGGACUUAAGCUGGUUUUCAAGUUAGGCAUGAUAAAAUGGUGAUUGCUUGUUCUGAAAUGUGCAUGGUGAUUUGUCUUCUAAUAUGAGCUGUGUAAGACAUAAAUCAUAAUCCUGCUCCUCACAUGACUUACUGAGCUUCUCCAGAGUGACAUUCUGCUGAAGCGCUAUUCUGUAAUCAUCUUGGAUGAGGCACAUGAAAGGAGUUUGAACACAGAUAUACUUAUCGGGAUGCUAUCUAGAGUUGUAAAGAUUUGGAAGAAUUUGCAUGCAGAGCAUCAGGAAAAAUUACGCUUGGGGCUCAUCAAUCCAGAAGAUGUGAUUAAUCAGUUGAAAGUUGUGCUGAUGAGAAAUGUGUUACAACCCUAAAAAGGACAAAGUCUAUUGUUUUGUCCGCCCCAUCUUUUCUCGACAUAAUUGGCAGCUUCCCCUGCAUAGGUUACCUGUGAAUGACGGCUCCACUCGGUUGCAGAUAUUUGCUUGUUCUUUGCUUAAGGGCGAUGUCUUGCCAUGUUUUAACGAAGCUCGGGAGUUCCUGUCACUGUCACCAUCCGUUGUCCUGAGGCCUCUAGUCCACAGGAAAGCUGGAGAUCUUCUUAGUGGGAGGUCAAAAUUUAAUUUCCAGCCGGGCAGCAUUAAGAGAUGCAUGGAAUCGGUAUCCAGAUUUUCUUUAUCCUGUGAUCAAACGUGUUUUAAGGAUAGGUUUCACAGCCAGUUUGGAGCAUCAUGGGGGAAAAUGCACGGGGAAAUUCGUCUUGAGGGCGAGGAUCUUAUCCCAAAGGGGUCCAAGAAGGUUAAAGGGUUACUUGUUUCAAGCAUAUUGUAGUGCAAUUGCUUGACAAAUGCUUCUCUGUGAUGGAGAUGGCUUUGAUGAGUACGGAUGCAAAUGAUUAAUCAAACACUGCCCUGAACAGUUGUGGAAC